AUGAGCUCCUUGAAUAAGUGGCCCUUGGGCAGCCCAUCAGGUUCCCAUGGUAAACUGAGAUUUAUUUUAACAAGGUCACUUUGGAACUUACAUUACUUUAACCCAUUAGACAGAAUCAAACCAUUAUACCCAAGGAUGGCUCAAAUCUAUCUCAUUUUGUAUAGGACAGGCUUCAAUUGCGAUAGAUUAUUAUUACAAAAUACUGGAUAACAAAAUAUAAGUUUUUCACUCAUUUCCUAUUAUUCAAAUAAGAAAAGUAAUUCAAAGCAAUAUUUCUGAGUAGAGGAGCAUUACAAGGUAAAUCAGGUUUCAAGUACAAGUGGCAAGGCUGUGGCUGGCCACUUAUGUGAGCCUGCACAGAAUUCAUGACCAUGGAGGGCCUCCUGGGUUCUUAGUCCCUUCCAGUUCUAAAAGGCUAUUCGUCUGGGGCUCUGUUUUAAAAUUCUACACUACCUGGAAAUAUUUUAUGCUCAUGAGGUCAAGAGUCAAACUCUGAGUACUUUUUUGAUGGUCCAAGGAGCUAAACUAUGUGACUCAUGACUCUUGGCUCCUCAAGGUUAAAAGUACCUGCCACAGGAUGUAAUUACACACAGAUAACCACCAGAAGGAAGGUUUGAUUGUAAUGCCCAUAUUCUCCUAAUCUGACAGGCAGGGGGCUGACAGUGAGUUGGCCUCUUUAUCACCAUCAAUAAACUGUAUUAAUCCAAAAGAGAGGGCAUAUGUGUAUACACAUAUGUAUAUUCACUUUGUUGUACAGCAGAAACUAGCAUGAUGUGAUGAGGCAACUACCCCCGCAAAGAAAAAACCAUGUAAUGCUUUAUAGGUAUCAUUCAUAUAANNNNNNNNNNNUUUUUUUUUUUUUAGGAAAACUUGGGAGGUUUUGCUCAGGCUUUAUAUGAAGACAUGGAAAAGUCAUCACUCAAGCAGCUUUUUCUAAAACUUCACUGUUAUUUGUGGAAAGUCUCUGCCACACAUUUCUAUUAGGAUUUCCAUUUCACAGAUUCACAGAUAUACUAGACAAACUUAUGGUUACCAAAGGGGAAAGCAGGGGAGAGAUAAAUUGAGAACUGGGGAUUAACAGAUACACAGUACCACAUAUAAAGUAGAUAAACAACAAGAACCCACUGUACAGCGCAGGGUUCAUAUUUAAUAUCUG
rnacentral:lncRNA from 1 species